UCCCUUCAAGUCUACAUCUUCGUCUGAUGAUCUUACUGAGCUGAAGAAGCCUAAAGCAACUGAAAAUGAACCUUAUCAGAUUUUUUUGUGCGAAUCAAUAUCCAAGAAAGAAAUUGCAGUGAAGAAGAGCGCAAAUUGUUUGCAGUUUGGAUGCAGCUAAUAUUGUUUUGAAUAAACCUCAUGGUAUGGCUGUUCAAGGAGGAACUGGGGUCAAAGCCAGUAUUGAUGAAC